GUAGCUCAGUUAGUUACAGCAUGGUGCUGAUGAUGCCAACGUCACAGGUUCGAUCCCCGUCCA
rnacentral:tRNA from 1 species